CUUUUUCGUCCUGUAAGCGUCCGGUUUAGGCUAAGACGGUUGGUUGUGGUUGUUUUGUGAGGUAAAGUAACAAGGAACACGGCUUUUCGGCCUAGUUUAAGAUGCAGGAGAUGCAGCGGUCUUGUAGUAGUAGAUCGACGUUAGCUUUGAAAACGUCUAGGUUCAGAAGCUUGAGUGAACUGCAUGUUCGUUCGUUAGCGGCGCCACGUGCAGCCCCGGGCGCUGAGUCGGAAGCCAGUCGCGCGUGGGUUGUGGGCCCUCCGGCAGAGGUUAAAUACCGCUGAUGACCCGGGUGAAGAAGGUCAUGCGUUGUACUGUCGGUGCCAUGUGGCCAUCUUGAAUCUGUUACUCUGCCACUCUGAAGAGUAACACCGCAUCCUGACGAGCCGCCAGUUUGAUCCAGGUGGAAGCUGAGCGAAUUGUUCCAGUGGAUGAUGGAAAGCAUAACGAGAUACACCAAGAAAUCCAAAGUGAUGUGGGUGAAGUUUGAGCAUCCUGCAGUACACUGCCAAAUGUGAUUUUAAAUCUCGUGUAUGGUAUUUAAAUAGAAAAUAAAAGCGUGCUGCUUUUAUUUAUGUAAUAAAAUGCUUGAUUUGUA